CCUACGGGUGGCAGCAGUGAGGAAUAUUGGUCAAUGGGCGGACGCCUGAACCAGCCAAGCCGCGUGAGGGAAGAAGGUACUGCGUAUCGUAAACCUCUUUUGUCAGGGAGCAAAGGCGGGGACUAGUCCCCGGAUGAGGGUACCUGAAGAAAAAGCAUCGGCUAAAUCCGUGCCCGCAGCCGCGGUAAUACGGAGGAUGCGAGCGUUAUCCGGAUUUAUUGGGUUUAAAGGGUGCGCAGGCGGCCUGUUAAGUCAGCGGUAAAAGCCCGGGGCUCAACCCCGGCGAGCCGUUGAAACUGGCGUGCUUGAGUGGGAGAGAAGUACGCGGAAUGCGCGGUGUAGCGGUGAAAUGCUUAGAUAUCGCGCAGAACCCAGAUUGCGAAGGCAGCGUACCGGCGCCACACUGACGCUGAGGCACGAAAGCGUGGGUAUCGAACAGGAUUAGAUACCCGGGUAGUC
rnacentral:rRNA from 1 species